rnacentral:rRNA from 1 species
CCCUUAGAUGUCCGGGGCCGCACGCGCGCUACACUGAAGGAAUCAGCGUGGCUUUCUCCCUGACCCGAAAGGGUUGGGAAACCCGUUGAAUCUCCUUCGUGAUAGGGAUUGGGGCCUGAAAUUGUUCCCCAUGAACGAGGAAUUCCCAGUAAGCGCGAGUCAUAAGCUCGCGUUGAUUACGUCCCUGCCCUUUGUACACACCGCCCGUCGCUACUACCGAUUGAAUGUUCCGGUGAGCUCUUCGGACUGCGCGGUCUGCAGUUUCUGCGUUCCGUGCGGAAAGUUGCGCAAACCUUAACAUUUAGAGGAAGGAGAAGUCGUAACA